GUUUAUAAUUUACUAAUAUAUUAAUAAAAUUAAAAGUUGUUAAAUGUUAUUAAUAGUUGAUGCACCAUGAACAGUGUUUCCCCUAUGGUUACGAGCUAGGGAACUACUUUUAGUGCUAUUUAACCCCCCUUGUUUAGAGUGUUGGGUAUAAAAAUUGAGAUUUAAAUAAAAAUUCAUCUUAUAUUUCAGUUGAUGUAAAGAAUGUUGCAUACAGUUGCACAAAAUGUAACGUGUAUCAAUCAAUAAUAGAAGGAUGUUGGGUGGAUGUGUGGAUGUCUUAAUUUUUUAAACAAUAUCCAACUGUAAUGUAUAAACAGUAUUGAAUUAUUUUCCUUCAAAUACAUUUUUUUUAGCUUUAAUCUGUAACUCAACUACUUUUGAAGGAUUGAACCAAAACAUGUCGUGGUCACUUACAUUAAUAAGACCUAAAUAUUGCAUACAGCACAUAAUAUUUCAGUUUCUGAAGCCAAUAUGAAGAAACAAGAAUGUGAUAUUAUUAUCAAUGUAUUAAGGCCAUAUUCUCAUAUGUUUCACAACAUGAACAUUACUUUGAUCCUUUGUAGUCUAUACCUGUAAAAGUGUAAUCAUUGUAAUGAUGUUUUGGAUAACAUUGUUAUUGUAGAAGUGUGACCUCUAACAGCUCACCAAUCUUGUCUUGUUUCCUAUAGAGUCCAACAGUGUUUGUUGGGGUCUGUUUAGUUUCAUCAUCAUUGGUGCUGUUCUUUGCCUUCUGGGAUAUUAUGCAUUGUUGAGAAUGAAGCAAAAUUCCAGGAAUAAAGCAAAAUUUCCGAAGUGAAGAGCAUGUCUGUUUUUACAUCAGAUUGUAUGCCAAUCACUUUAAGAAUGACUGGAGACCUUUGUGAGUAAUUACAUGCCAGAAAAUAGAAAAUACCACUAUAAAGGAAGCAGCAGAAGCACAUGUUAUCUAAGCUCACAAACGGCUGGUGAAACCUUCAAGGAUUGUGGAUUAUAACUCUGGAUUGUAUUAAAGUUAGUGAUGGGCAGAGCGGGCUUCCCCUGCCAACAUUGAUAUGUGGGCCCCAUACAUAUACAUUUAAUAUUUAAGUACAUUAAUGUACUUUUACUCAAGGAAAGGUACACAAUAUUAAUGUAAUUAGGUAUUAAAUAAAUUUUAAUAAGCAAUAUUAAAGAAUA